CCUACGGGUGGCAGCAGUGGGGAAUAUUGCACAAUGGGGGAAACCCUGAUGCAGCGACGCCGCGUGAGCGAGGAAGUAUUUCGGUAUGUAAAGCCCUAUCAGCAGGGACGAAAAAAGACGGUACCUGACUAAGAAGCCCCGGCUAACUACGUGCCAGCAGCCGCGGUAAUACGUAGGGGGCAAGCGUUAUCCGGAUUUACUGGGUGUAAAGGGAGCGCAGACGGCAAGGCAAGCCAGAAGUGAAAGGCCAGGGCUCAACCCCGUAACUGCUUUUGGAACUGCGGGGCUGGAGUGCAGGAGGGGUAGGUGGAAUUCCUGGUGUAGCGGUGAAAUGCGUAGAUAUUAGGAGGAACACCAGUGGCGAAGGCGGCCUACUGGACUGUAACUGACGUUGAGGCUCGAAAGCGUGGGGAGCAAACAGGAUUAGAUACCCGUGUAGUC
rnacentral:rRNA from 1 species